rnacentral:rRNA from 1 species
ACUCUUAAGGCUGAGACACGACGUCGAGCUACUACGGUAGUGAAGUCAUUGAUGCCAUGCUUCCAGGAAAAGCCUCUAAGCUUCAGAUUGUAAGGAAUCGUACCCCAAACCGACACAGGUGGUCGGGUAGAGAAUACCAAGGCGCUUGAGAGAACUCGGGUGAAGGAACUAGGCAAAAUGGUACCGUAACUUCGGGAGAAGGUACGCUCUUGAUGGUGAAGUCCCUUGCGGAUGGAGCUGACGAGAGUCGCAGAUACCAGGUGGCUGCAACUGUUUAUUAAAAACACAGCACUGUGCAAAAUCGUAAGAUGACGUAUACGGUGUGACGCCUGCCCGGUGCCGGAAGGUUAAUUGAUGGGGUUAGCGUAAGCGAAGCUCUUGAUCGAAGCCCCGGUAAACGGCGGCCGUAACUAUAACGGUCCUAAGGUAGCGAAAUUCCUUGUCGGGUAAGUUCCGACCUGCACGAAUGGCGUAAUGAUGGCCACGCUGUCUCCACCCGAGACUCAGUGAAAUUGAAAUCGCUGUGAAGAUGCAGUGUACCCGCGGCUAGACGGAAAGACCCCGUGAACCUUUACUACAGCUUGGCACUGAACAUUGAACCUACAUGUGUAGGAUAGGUGGGAGGCUUUGAAGACGUGACGCCAGUUGCGUUGGAGCCGUCCUUGAAAUACCACCCUUGUAUGUUUGAUGUUCUAACGUUGGCCCCUAAUCGGGGUUGCGGACAGUGCCUGGUGGGUAGUUUGACUGGGGCGGUCUCCUCCCAAAGAGUAACGGAGGAGCACGAAGGUGGGCUAAUCACGGUUGGACAUCGUGAGGUUAGUGCAAUGGCAUAAGCCCGCUUAACUGCGAGAAUGACGGUUCGAGCAGGUGCGAAAGCAGGUCAUAGUGAUCCGGUGGUUCUGAAUGGAAGGGCCAUCGCUCAACGGAUAAAAGGUACUCCGGGGAUAACAGGCUGAUACCGCCCAAGAGUUCAUAUCGACGGCGGUGUUUGGCACCUCGAUGUCGGCUCAUCACAUCCUGGGGCUGAAGUCGGUCCCAAGGGUAUGGCUGUUCGCCAUUUAAAGUGGUACGCGAGCUGGGUUUAGAACGUCGUGAGACAGUUCGGUCCCUAUCUGCCGUGGGCGUUGGAAGAUUGAAGGGGGCUGCUCCUAGUACGAGAGGACCGGAGUGGACGAACCUCUGGUGUUCGGGUUGUGUCGCCAGACGCAUUGCCCGGUAGCUAAGUUCGGAAUCGAUAACCGCUGAAAGCAUCUAAGCGGGAAGCGAGCCCUGAGAUGAGUCUU